rnacentral:rRNA from 1 species
GACGAACGCUGGCGGCGUGCCUAAUACAUGCAAGUCGAGCGAAUCUUUUGGGAGCUUGCUCCCUUAAGGUUAGCGGCGGACGGGUGAGUAACACGUGGGUAACCUGCCUGUAAGACUGGGAUAACUUCGGGAAACCGGAGCUAAUACCGGAUACUUUCUUUUCUCGCAUGAGGGAAGAUGGAAAGAUGGUUCUGCUAUCACUUACAGAUGGACCCGCGGCGCAUUAGCUAGUUGGUGAGGUAACGGCUCACCAAGGCGACGAUGCGUAGCCGACCUGAGAGGGUGAUCGGCCACACUGGGACUGAGACACGGCCCAGACUCCUACGGGAGGCAGCAGUAGGGAAUCUUCCGCAAUGGACGAAAGUCUGACGGAGCAACGCCGCGUGAGCGAAGAAGGCCUUCGGGUCGUAAAGCUCUGUUGUUAGGGAAGAACAAGUACGAGAGUAACUGCUCGUACCUUGACGGUACCUAACCAGAAAGCCACGGCUAACUACGUGCCAGCCGCCGCAGUAAUAC